UGCGGAUCAUCUGCAUCUUACAUAGCUGCCCUAGCUCCUGGACUACCAUCUUGCUGGGAAUCUGGUCUUGUCUUUCCUGUGUACUUUGAACCCAGCCCAGCUCAUAUCCGGAUGCCUUUCCGAGAAUUGCAGGGAUGUCGGUGAGCUUCCACUCAGCCCUCAGAGGCGUCCAAGACCAUCGCUUCUGCGAUCACAGCACUGCAACCCUCAUCAGCAGCGCUGUCACCGCGCGGAGCAGCUACCGGCGACUCGACCCAGACCUGUGGCUGCCCGGCAGCAUCGUCCCCAGUGCAGAAUGCUUCGCACGUGUAAUUUGUAAAGCUUAAAACUAUCAGCAAUGUGUCAGUCACAUAAAACUGUCUGAAAGCAAUCACAGAGAUUUCUUAGUUCGUUCACUGAAGGAUUUUUUUACUGCUGGGUAUCAAGAAAUAUGUUACUUCAGCUAUUUAACGAGUGAGCCUACACGUUACGCAGCACCUUGUGCCGGAUAUAUGCCCGGCUCCCGCUGCGCAGCCGGGGAAGCGGCGCGCUGGUUGCUGUGGCGACGGCGAGCUCCCGGGGAUGCCUGCACAGGGCGCUCCGAGCCGGACCCCCGCACGCAAUGAGACGCCAGAGCCCGCCUGCACGCACUGCAUCCCAGCACGCCUUCCGCAAAACCAAAACGUCUGCAGCGAGCCACCUGCAAAUGUAAUCAUUGCGUUUCUCACUGAAAAAUUAAAUAAAAUCGAUUCUCUUGGUGGAUACCUUUUAUCUUUCUAUACCUUGUAAUAGGAUUUCCAUUUUUACAUAUAUUAAAAAAAAAGAUGUCAUUUAGACUCUGUUAACAUCUAUUUUUCUAAAACACAAUUAAAUAAAUUAAGGUAAAAAGGA